rnacentral:rRNA from 1 species
UACGUAGGCAGCAAGCGUUGUUCGGAGUUACUGGGCGUAAAGGGUGCGUAGGCGGUUGUUUAAGUUUGGUGUGAAAUCUCCCGGCUCAACUGGGAGGGUGCGCCGAAUACUGAAUGACUAGAGUGCGGGAGAGGAGAGUGGAAUUCCUGGUGUAGCGGUGAAAUGCGUAGAUAUCAGGAGGAACACCGGUGGUGUAGACGGCUUACUGGACCAUAACUGACGCUGAGACACGAAAGCGUGGGUAGCAAACAGG